UGCUCUAGCAGGAGCAUGAUUUUGCCAGC
rnacentral:piRNA from 1 species